rnacentral:rRNA from 1 species
AGUGAACGCUGGCGGUAGGCCUAACACAUGCAAGUCGAACGGCAGCACAGUAAGAGCUUGCUCUUACGGGUGGCGAGUGGCGGACGGGUGAGGAAUACAUCGGAAUCUACUUUUUCGUGGGGGAUAACGUAGGGAAACUUACGCUAAUACCGCAUACGACCUACGGGUGAAAGCAGGGGAUCUUCGGACCUUGCGCGAUUGAAUGAGCCGAUGUCGGAUUAGCUAGUUGGCGGGGUAAAGGCCCACCAAGGCGACGAUCCGUAGCUGGUCUGAGAGGAUGAUAAGCCACACUGGGACUGAGACACGGUACAGACUCCUACGGGAGGCAGCAGUGGGGAAUAUUAGACAAAGGGCGCAAGCCUGAUCCAGCCAUACCGCGUGAGUGAAGAAGGCCUUCGGGUUGUAAAGCCCUUUUGUUGGGAAAGAAAAGCAGCAGGUUAAUACCCCGCUGUUCUGACGGUACCCAAAGAAUAAGCACCGGCUAACUUCGUG